CAAUAGCAUAUAUUAACGUUGUUGCAGUUGAAAAGCUCGUAGUUGAACUUUUGGUAGGAGCGACCUGGCCUUGGGCGCAUGCCCUUGUUUGCCGUGUGUCGUAUCUGGCCAUCCUUUUCUUCUUUUUGGAAGGAAUCUUUUACUGUGAGUAAACUGGAGUGCUCAAAACAAGACGUUUGUUUGGUACAUUAAAGCAUGGAAUAAUAAGAUAGGACCUGGUUACUAUUUUGUUGGUUUGCAUAGCUAGGUAAUGAUUAACAGGGACAGUUGGGGGUAUUCGUAUUUAAUUGUCAGAGGUGAAAUUCUUGGAUUUAUGAAAGACGAACGACUGCGAAAGCAUUUACCAAGGAUGUUUUCAUUAG
rnacentral:rRNA from 1 species